rnacentral:rRNA from 1 species
UACGUAGGUGGCGAGCGUUGUCCGGGUUUAUUGGGCGUAAAGAGCGUGUAGGCGGCUAGGUAGGUCCGUUGUGAAAACUCGAGGCUCAACCUCGAGACGCCGAUGGAAACCAUCUAGCUAGAGUCCGGAAGAGGAGAGUGGAAUUCCUGGUGUAGCGGUGAAAUGCGCAGAUAUCAGGAAGAACACCCGUGGCUAAGGCGGCUCUCUAGUACGGUACUGACGCUGAGACGCGAAAGCGUGGGGAGCGAACAGG